AUUGAACGCUGGCGGCAUGCUUUACACAUGCAAGUCGAACGGCAGCGCGGGCUUCGGCCUGGCGGCGAGUGGCGAACGGGUGAGUAAUACAUCGGAACGUGCCCAGUAGUGGGGGAUAGCUCGGCGAAAGCCGGAUUAAUACCGCAUACGACCUGAGGGUGAAAGCGGGGGAUCUUCGGACCUCGCGCUAUUGGAGCGGCCGAUGGCAGAUUAGCUAGUUGGUGGGGCAAAGGCCUACCAAGGCGACGAUCUGUAGCUGGUCUGAGAGGACGACCAGCCACACUGGGACUGAGACACGGCCCAGACUCCUACGGGAGGCAGCAGUGGGGAAUUUUGGACAAUGGGCGAAAGCCUGAUCCAGCAAUGCCGCGUGUGUGAUGAAGGCCUUCGGGUUGUAAAGCACUUUUGGCGGGAACGAAAAGGACUGUGCCAAUACCACGGUUCGAUGACGGUACCCGCAGAAUAAGCACCGGCUAACUACGUG
rnacentral:rRNA from 1 species